AUUGAACGCUGGCGGAAUGCUUUACACAUGCAAGUCGAACGGCAGCACGGACUUCGGUCUGGUGGCGAGUGGCGAACGGGUGAGUAAUGUAUCGGAACGUGCCCAGUCGUGGGGGAUAACGUAGUGAAAAUUACGCUAAUACCGCAUACGAUCUAUGGAUGAAAGCGGGGGAUCGCAAGACCUCGCUCGAUUGGAGAGGCCGAUAUCAGAUUAGGUAGUUGGUGGGGUAAAGGCACACAAAGGCAACUAUCUGUAGCUGGUCUGAGAGGACGACCAGCCACACUGGAACUGAGACACUGUCCAGACUCCUACGGGAGUCAGCAGUGGGGAAUUUUGGACAAUGGGCGAAAGCCUGAUCCAGCCAUUCCGCGUGCAGGAUGAAGGCCCGCGGGUUGUAAACUGCUUUUGUACAGAACGAAAAGGUUUCUACUAAUACUAGGAGCUCAUGACGGUACUGUAAGAAUAAGCACCGGCUAACUACGUGCCAGCCGCCGCAGUAA
rnacentral:rRNA from 1 species